GAAAUGCGAUAAGUAGUGUGAAUUGCAGAAUUCAGUGAAUCAUCGAAUCUUUGAACGCACAUUGCGCCCCUUGGUAUUCCAUGGGGCAUGCCUGUUCGAGCGUCAUUUGUACCCUCAAGCUCUGCUUGGUGUUGGGUGUUUGUCCCCGUCUCCGCGCGUGGACUCGCCCCAAAGUAAUUGGCAGCCGGCGUACUGGUCCCGGAGCGCAGCACAUGUCGCGCAAACGAGUGCCUUGGUACGGCGGCGUCCAUAAGCCCCUCUCUCACGCUCUUGACCUCGGAUCAGGUAGGGAUACCCGCUGAACUUAAGC
rnacentral:misc_RNA from 1 species